rnacentral:rRNA from 1 species
UACGUAGGGUGCAAGCGUUAAUCGGAAUUACUGGGCGUAAAGCGUGCGCAGGCGGUUAUGUAAGACAGAUGUGAAAUGCCCGGGCUUAACCUGGGAACUGCAUUUGUGACUGCAUGGCUAGAGUUUGGCAGAGGGGGGUAGAAUUCCACGUGUAGCAGUGAAAUGCGUAGAUAUGUGGAGGAACACCGAUGGCGAAGGCAGCCCCCUGGGUCAAGAUUGACGCUCAUGCACGAAAGCGUGGGGAGCAAACAGG